CCUGAUUGAUUCUACCAGUAGUCAUAUACUUGUCUCAAAGAUUAAGCCAUGCAUGUGUAAGUAUGAACUAAUUAAGACUAUGAAACUACAAAUGGCUUAUUAAAUCGAUUAUAGUUUGUUUGAUGGUAUCUACUUCUCGGAUAACAAUAGUAAUUUUAGAGCUAAUACAUGCAACACACCCCAACUUCUAGAAGGAGUGCAUUUAUUAGAUAAAAGGUUGAUGUGGACUUUAUCUAUUGCUCUAAUGAUUCAUGAUAACUCGACGGAUCACAUAGCUUUUGUGCCAGUGAUGCAUCAUUCAAAUUUUUGCCCUAUCAACUUUCGAUGGUAGGAUAAUGGCCCACUAUGGUGGUGAUGGGUGACAGAGAAUUAAGGUUUAAUUUUAGAGAAAGAGCCUAGGAAACAGCUACUACAUUCAAGAAAGGUAGCAAGCAUGCAAAUUACCCAAUAUUGAUACAGGGAGGUAGUGACAAUAAAUAAUAAUAUCGGGCUCUAUGAGUCUAGUAAUUGGAAUGAGGGCAAUGGUAGUGACAAUAAAUAACAAUAUUGGGCUCUAUGAGUCUAGUAAUUGGAAUGAGGACAAUCUAAAUCCUUUAAAGAGGAUCCAUUUAAGGGUAAGUUUAGUGCCAACAACCACGGUAAUUCUAGCUCCAAUAGCAUAUAUUUAAGUUGUUGCAGUUAAAAAGCUUGUAGUUAGAACUAGGGUUAGGUCAUCCACUCUGCCUCACGCUGAGCAUCGAUCUACUUAUCUCUACUAUUGAUGAUACAAUCCUAGCCUUAACUGGAUGGGUCAUUCUUCUGGUGCUAUUACUUUGAAGAAAUUAAAAUGGUCAAAGCAGGCCUACGCUUGUAUACAUUAGCAUAGGAUAACAUCAUAGGAUUUUGGUCUUAUUGUGUUGGCUUUCAAGAUCAUAGUAAUAAUUAACAGGGAUAGUUGAAAGGAUUCUUAUUUCAUAGUUAGAGGUGAAAUUCUUGGAUUUGUGAAAAAAGAAUACCUACAAAAACAUUUGCCAAUGAUGUUUUCAUUAAUUAAGAAUAAAAGUUAGGGGCUCGAAGAUGAUCAAAUACCAUCCUAGUCUCAACCAUAAAUGAUGCUGACUAGGGAUCAGUGGAUGUUACUUUUAGGAUUCCACCAGCAUCUUAUGGGAAAUCAAAGUCUUUGGGUUCCAAAGGGAGUAUGGUGACAAGACUAAAACUUAAAGGAAUUAACAAAAGGGCACCACUAGGGAACCUACAGAUUAAUUUAACCCAACACUGGAAAACUUACCAAGUCCAAACAUAAUAAGAAUUGAUAGAUUAAGAGCUCUUUCUUGAUUCUAUAAGUGGUGGUGUAUGGAUUCUUAGUUGGUAGAGUGAUUUGUUUGGUUAAUUCCAUUUACAUAUGAGACCUUAACCCGCUAACUAGCUAUACGAAGAUGGUCUUUCAUGGCUAGCUUUUUAGAAGGACUAUGGCAGCUUACGCCAAGAAAGUUUAAGGCAAUAACAAGUUUGUGAUGGCUUUAGAUGUUUUGGGCCACAUGCACGCUACACUAAUGUAUUCAAUAAGUCUAUAGCCUUGGCCAACAGGCUUGGGUAAUCUUUGAAAUUUCAUCAUGAUAUGCAUCAAUCAUUGCAAUUGUUGGUCCUCAACAAGGAAUUCCUAGUAAGCGACAGUCAUCAUCUCACAUUGACUAUGUCUUUGCUCUUUGUACACACUACUCAUCACUUCUACUCAUUAAAUGGUCCAGUGAAAUGUUCGAAUCACAACAACAUGCAUAAGAAGUCCACUAAACCUUAUCUUUUAGAGGACAGAAAAGUUAUAACAAAGUUUUGACAGGUGAACCUACAAAAG
rnacentral:rRNA from 1 species